GACCUCGUGCUGGAACUGGUAUACAGGUCCGGUUGAGAGCCGGUGCCGAGAGGCGUGUGGGUUCGACUCCCACCGGGGUCAC
rnacentral:tRNA from 1 species